CUGUGCCUGCUGGAGGUCUCUCCACCCAACUGGAUUUUGUGCAGGUUUAGAAGAUGCUUGUUCAGCCAGAAAUAUGAGCACAAUCAACCACAGUUCAGAAAAUCCGAAAUUGUGACAGAAAUUUCCACCAUAAACCCUCUCUGCACAGCACUCACUGUGUUGGACUUAAAAGCAGAACUGUGAAAUCAGGCCCACUUCCCACGAGGGAUGGGGAGAAAGAGCUGGCAUGGGCUCCU